GCCAGGCCUGGUGGUGCAGGCCUGUAGUCUCAACUGCUUGGGAGGCUGAGGUGGGAGGAUGGCUUGUGCCCAGGAGGUCAUGGCUGCAGUGAGCUGUGACUGUGCCACUGCACUCCAGCCUGGAUGACAGAGCAAGACCCUAUCUCAA
rfam:Gorilla gorilla gorilla genomic chromosome, chr18, whole genome shotgun sequence